UACGAAGGGUGCAAGCGUUACUCGGAAUUACUGGGCGUAAAGCGUGCGUAGGUGGUUCGUUAAGUCUGUCGUGAAAUCCCCGGGCUCAACCUGGGAAUGGCGAUGGAUACUGGCGAGCUAGAGUGUGUCAGAGGAUGGUGGAAUUCCCGGUGUAGCGGUGAAAUGCGUAGAGAUCGGGAGGAACAUCAGUGGCGAAGGCGGCCAUCUGGGACAACACUGACGCUGAAGCACGAAAGCGUGGGGAGCAAACAGG
rnacentral:rRNA from 1 species